AUCCAGCCGAUGAGUCCCAAAUAAGACGAAACGCGCAUCCUGGAU
rnacentral:hammerhead_ribozyme from 1 species